AUUGAACGCUGGCGGCAGGCUUAACACAUGCAAGUCGAGCGGGGUGAUGGUGCUUGCACUAUCACUUAGCGGCGGACGGGUGAGUAAUGCUUAGGAAUCUGCCUAUUAGUGGGGGACAACAUCUCGAAAGGGAUGCUAAUACCGCAUACGUCCUACGGGAGAAAGCAGGGGAUCACUUGUGACCUUGCGCUAAUAGAUGAGCCUAAGUCGGAUUAGCUAGUUGGUGGGGUAAAGGCCUACCAAGGCGACGAUCUGUAGCGGGUCUGAGAGGAUGAUCCGCCACACUGGGACUGAGACACGGCCCAGACUCCUACGGGAGGCAGCAGUGGGGAAUACUGGACAAUGGGGGGAACCCUGAUCCAGCCAUGCCGCGUGUGUGAAGAAGGCCUUAUGGUUGUAAAGCACUUUAAGCGAGGAGGAGGCUCUUUUGGUUAAUACCCAGAUGAGUGGACGUUACUCGCAGAAUAAGCACCGGCUAACUCUGUGCCAGCCGCCGCAGUAA
rnacentral:rRNA from 1 species